GACGAACGCUGGCGGCGUGCUUAACACAUGCAAGUCGAACGGAAAGGCCCUGCUCUUGUGGCGACUUCAAGUGGCGAAAAGGUGUGUAACACGCGAGUAACCUCUCCCUUUCAUCGGGAUAACACCAGGAAACAGGGGCGAUUAUCGGACAUGAACUCCUUAUACACGGGGGUGGUUGGUAAAUUGUGGCGUUUGAGGACGUAAUGGUGGCCUAGCGGCUUGUUGGUGAGGUGGUGUCUUACCAAGGCUUGGACGUGUAGCCGGCCUGCGAGGGUGACCGGCCCCAUUGUGACUCGGAUACGGGCCGGACUCCUACGGGAGGCAUGAGUGAGAAAUAUUGCACGAUGGGCGGAAUCAUGAUGCAGCAACGCCGCGUGCGGGAUCACUGCCGUCAGGGUGUAACCCUCUUUCGACUGUGACGAAGCGUGAGUGACGGUAAUGGGUAAGGAAGCACCGGCUAACUACGUG
rnacentral:rRNA from 1 species